rnacentral:misc_RNA from 1 species
UUUUCGUAGGUGAACCUGCGGAAGGAUCAUUAUUGUAUAACCGAGGGGCGAGGGCUGUCGCUGACCCGAAAGGUCGUGCACGCCCGAGUGCCCUCACACACAUCCAUCUCACCCCUAUGUGCACCACCGCGUGGGUCCCCCUUUGGCUUGUUCGGAGGGGGGCUUACGUUUUCACACAAACUUUGUAUGCAGUGUAGAAUGUAUUUUUUGUUUUUGCGAUCACGCAAUCAAUACAACUUUCAACAACGGAUCUCUUGGCUCUC